AUUUUCUGAAUUUUCUCUCAUGCAGGAUGCCCACAGGGGAAAGUUCUCUGAGCCAAGCAAGCAUUAGAUUGCUACUCUGCUUAUAGAUCCUCUUCAUCAGGUCACUCAAAGGAGAAAUAAAUGAGUCUGGAAUUCCUGCUUCAGCAACCAAGGGAAAUUUAGCCAGUUCUUAUAGGAGCAGCAGGUCUGUUAAGGGAAAAGUUUAAACUAUGCAUGGAAGGACUUAUGAACAGCAAGUUCAUGACAGAUCCAGAUGUUGGAACAGCAGGCUGGAUUAUUUUGUCUACAGAGGAAAAAAGUUCACUGAUUCAGGGGGUGUUUCCUGCCAGAGAGAAACGACAAGGAGCCAGUAGUGGGUGAGGAGCUGUCUCUGUGCUUCUGCCUGAAAAAGACUACAAUGGAGAGUGAAGCCACAUCAGUAUAGAAUGGCUAUAACACGAGCCACAAAAGAAGAGAGGUUGAGCAUCCCUGAUGCAACACGGCGUUAUCUUCAGUGUCACCGGUGGGUUCAGCUGGAGAUGUGACCUGUUAAAUGGCAAUGAUUUAGAGCCUCUUAGCUCCCCCAGCUCUGUCACUCCAUCUCAUUUGUAGGCACCAAAACUGACUAUGUGGCUAUGGCUGCAAGGAAAUUGUACAUCCAGAUCAAUGUCAAGAUCUGCUGAAAUUUUUACCAUAGUAUUCAGCCUCAGCAAUGAAGAAUGUUUACAUUCUUCACGUGCAUGAAAGAAGCAGAUACAAAUUUUAAAUUGUAAUCUAUAUUGUGUUGCAUUAUACUAUGCAUAGUGCAUUUGUAUACACACAGAUCAUAGCAAAGAUGAAAACUGAAGAGAGAUACAGUGGGAGAAUAGAAUACAGUCUGUUAGACUGGUGAUAAUCUGUGGAAUUUAUUGCCUGAAGUUGUUAGAGAUUCUGAAUCUGUUUCUUGUUUGAAGUUUUAUUUGAAGGUUAAUGCUUUGGAUGUGUCCUUUUCUAAAUACUUGUGUGUUUGUACUUUCUUCCAAGGUUACCUGUAUUUCAUUUUUUAAAACAGAUUAACUUGCAGUCUUAUCUAAAAUUCACUGAAAUUAAUGGAAAACCUCUCAAUUACUUCAUUAGCUUUUCAAUCACAUCUUUAGUGAACUUUCUCCUUACAGCCUGCAAUGAUCAGACCCUUUCAGAGUUUAAGUUAGUACUGACGUUAGUGCAGUCAAAAAGAUUUAUAAUAGCUGAGUAUCUGUGUGACCAAGUAAGCCCAGUUUUUCCAAAACCUAAAUCAUUGUAAUUGCCUUGUGAGAAUUUCAGCUAUACACUAUUUUGCAAAACACAAGAGUGAGCAACAAAUACGAAAUUCAUUAAGACUGGUCAAAAGAACAUUCCAAACUCUAAGGUAGCCUUGUGGAUACCCCAACAAAUUGAUUACUGCAGCUUACCAAGGCUGUCUUUUCACCUGUGAAAGUGCAUAGAGAAUAAACUAAGUACUUUGUCUCA
ensembl:lncRNA